rnacentral:tRNA from 1 species
GCACGCGUAGCCAAGAGGCCGAAGGCACAGGUCCGCAAAACCUACGACGCAAGUCCACGUCAGUUCGAAUCUGACCGCGUGCUCCA